rnacentral:rRNA from 1 species
GGUUCUUUGAAUAAAUAUGGUAAAGAAUCUUGCCUGCCCAGUGAUGAAAAUUUAACGGCCGCGGUAAUUUAACUGUGCGAAGGUAGCAUAAUCAAUUGUCUAUUAAUUGUAGACUGGAAUGAAUGGUAUGACUAGAAAUUAGUUGUCUUGGGAUUAGUUUAAAAUUUUCAUUUUCUUGAAGAGAAGAAGAUGUUUCAGGGGGACGAGAAGACCCUAUUGAGCUUUAUAUAGAGUAUUAUAAUUAUUUGUGGUGAGUUGAAUAAUUAUAAAAUAUUUUGCUGGGGCGGUGGAGUUAAAACAUUAAAACAAUUUUUAAAGGAAAUAUUAGUAGGUGAAAUUUUGAUCCAAUAAAAUUGAUUAUAAGACUAAGUUACUGUAGGGAUAACAGCGUAAUUUUGUUUAGAAGUACUAAUUUGUGAUAAAGAUUGCGACCUCGAUGUUGGUUUAGGAAACUUGUUUGGUGCAGAUGCUAAAUUAAGUAGUCUGUUCGACUAUUAAAUUCCUAUA